CAAUGGAGGUGGAGGAGGGAGAGCUGGAGCCCGAGGACAUCUCCGUUAACCGCUCUCUGAAGGAGCUGCUGCCGGACACCAGUCGGCGGUAUGAGAACAAGGCCGGAGCCUUCAUCACUGGAAUCGACGUCAACUCUAAGGAGGCGAUCGAAAGGAAAGAGAAGCGAGCGCAGCGUUUCCAUUUUCACGGG